rnacentral:rRNA from 1 species
GACGAAGGGGGCUAGCGUUGUUCGGAAUUACUGGGCGUAAAGCGAGUGUAGGUGGUUGUCCAAGUUGGAUGUGAAAGCCUUGAGCUCAACUCAAGAAAUGCAUUCAGGACUGGGCGGCUAGAGGACCGGAGAGGAUAGUGGAAUUCCCAGUGUAGUGGUGAAAUACGUAGAGAUUGGGAAGAACACCAGUGGCGAAGGCGGCUAUCUGGACGGUUUCUGACACUAAGACUCGAAAGCGUGGAGAGCAAACAGG